rnacentral:lncRNA from 1 species
GCAUUUACGAAUUUGUCAGCUGGUGUUGUGUUAGGAUUCGUCCACAUUGAAAUUUAUCUAAAAUAUUUCUAAUCUAUAUGGGAUAAGAAAAAAUAUUUGUAAUUAUCUGUUAUAUUCCUAAUCCACAUGGGAUAAGGAAUAAAUCUAACAGAUAAAUCCUAAUCUAUUUAAAUCUCUAUCUAUGUGAGAUUUAGUUAGAAUAUGAUUAAAAUUAAUGUCUCCCUUAUGGCCUAUAAAUACAUGAGGUAUUGACCACAUACAAAUAAAACGAAAAAAAUAAAAUAAAAUAGAAUCAUCUCACCACAAAAAUUUUCUCUCUCUUGGAUUCACUCUAGGGCACUAUCAUAAACCCUAGGGAUUUGGGCGGUGUGCGGCAAUUGACUCUAGUAGCCGGAUUGUAACGAGUAAGAAUAACGUGCAACAAAUUGAGACAGGACGUUGGCGGAUCAACGAGUUUGUAAAACAAGACGAAAUUCGAUCCUGGUAAUCGUAAUACAUUCCGCAACAAAAGAGGUAUGUAAAAAUCUAUUUGAUUUUUGCGAACUAUUUAUUUGGAUAUUUAAUUAUUUUAUCCAACAUGUUGAAUAGGAUUAUAAACGUUUU